AGAGUUUGAUCAUGGCUCAGGAUGAACGCUGGCGGCGUGCUUAACACAUGCAAGUCGAACGAUUGAAGCUGGAGCUUGCUCCGGCCGAUUUAGUGGCGGACGGGUGAGUAACGCGUGGGUAACCUGCCUCAUACAGGGGGAUAGCAGUUGGAAACGACUGGUAAAACCGCAUAAGCGCACGGUGUCGCAUGACACAGUGUGAAAACACUCCGGUGGUAUGAGAUGGACCCGCGUCUGAUUAGCUAGUUGGUGAGGUAACGGCCCACCAAGGCGACGAUCAGUAGCCGGCCUGAGAGGGUGAACGGCCACAUUGGGACUGAGACACGGCCCAAACUCCUACGGGAGGCAGCAGUGGGGAAUCUUGCACAAUGGGGGAAACCCUGAUGCAGCGACGCCGCGUGAGUGAUGAAGUAUUUCGGUAUGUAAAGCUCUAUCAGCAGGGAAGAUAAUGACGGUACCUGACUAAGAAGCACCGGCUAAAUACGUGCCAGCAGCCGCGGUAAUACGUAUGGUGCAAGCGUUAUCCGGAUUUACUGGGUGUAAAGGGUGCGUAGGUGGCAAGGCAAGUCUGAAGUGAAAAUCCGGGGCUCAACCCCGGAACUGCUUUGGAAACUGUUUAGCUGGAGUACAGGAGAGGUAAGUGGAAUUCCAUGUGUAGCGGUGAAAUGCGUAGAUAUAUGGAGGAACACCGGUGGCGAAAGCGGCUCUCUGGUCUGUAACUGACGCUGAGGCUCGAAAGCGUGGGGAGCGAACAGGAUUAGAUACCCUGGUAGUCCACGCCGUAAACGAUGAGUGCUAGGUGUUGGAUCCUUUCAGGGAUUCAGUGCCGCAGCUAACGCAUUAAGCACUCCGCCUGGGGAGUACGACCGCAAGGUUGAAACUCAAAGGAAUUGACGGGGGCCCGCACAAGCGGUGGAGCAUGUGGUUUAAUUCGAAGCAACGCGAAGAACCUUACCAGGUCUUGACAUCCCGAUGCUAUUUCUAGAGAUAGAAAGUUACUUCGGUACAUCGGUGACAGGUGGUGCAUGGUUGUCGUCAGCUCGUGUCGUGAGAUGUUGGGUUAAGUCCCGCAACGAGCGCAACCCCUAUUGUUAGUUGCCAUCAUUCAGUUGGGCACUCUAGCGAGACUGCCGGUAAUAAACCGGAGGAAGGUGGGGAUGACGUCAAAUCAUCAUGCCCCUUAUGACCUGGGCUACACACGUGCUACAAUGGUUGGUACAACGAGUUGCGAGUCGGUGACGGCGAGCUAAUCUCUUAAAGCCAAUCUCAGUUCGGAUUGUAGGCUGCAACUCGCCUACAUGAAGUCGGAAUCGCUAGUAAUCGCGGAUCAGCACGCCGCGGUGAAUACGUUCCCGGGCCUUGUACACACCGCCCGUCACACCACGAGAGUUUGUAACACCCGAAGUCGGUGAGGUAACCUUUUGGAGCCAGCCGCCUAAGGUGGGACAGAUGAUUGGGGUGAAGUCGUAACAAGGUA
rnacentral:rRNA from 1 species